CCUACGGGUGGCAGCAGUGGGGAAUAUUGCACAAUGGGGGAAACCCUGAUGCAGCGACGCCGCGUGAGUGAAGAAGUAAUUCGUUAUGUAAAGCCCUAUCAGCAGGGAAGAAAAUGCCGGUACCUGAGCAAGAAGCCCCGGCUGACUACGUGCCAGCAGCCGCGGUAACACGUAGGGGGCAAGCGUUAUCCGGAUUUGCUGGGUGUAAAGGGAGCGUAGACGGCAGUGCAAGUCUGGAGUGAAAGGCGGGGGCUCAACCCCCGGACUGCUCUGGAAACUGUGCGGCUAGAGUGCAGGAGAGGUAAGCGGAAUUCCUAGUGUAGCGGUGAAAUGCGUAGAUAUUAGGAGGAACACCAGUGGCGAAGGCGGCUUACUGGACUGUAACUGACGUUGAGGCUCGAAGGCGUGGGGAGCAAACAGGAUUAGAUACCCGAGUAGUC
rnacentral:rRNA from 1 species